rnacentral:rRNA from 2 species
AUAAGGAGUCGGACCUGCCCAGUGAAUUAUUUUAAACGGCCGCGGUACUCUGACCGUGCAAAGGUAGCAUAAUCAUUUGCCCUAUAAUUGAGGGCUAGUAUGAAUGGUUUGACAAGAAUAAAACUGUCUCCCUGUAAUUAUAUGGAAUUUUAUCAUUAGGUGAAGAAGCCUAAAUAAAAUCAAAAGACAAGAAGACCCCGUCGAGCUUGAAAGAAAUUAAUAAGUUAAAAAUAUAUAUUCUUAAAAAAUUAUUUGUUAAAAAUUUUGGUUGGGGCGACUAAGGAACAAAUAAAGCUUCUUUUAAAUUUCGUGUCACGCACAGGUAUUGAUCCAAGAAAGUUGAUUAAAGAAAUUAGUUACCGCGGGGAUAACAGCAUUAUCUUUUUUGAGAGCUCAUAUCGAAAAAAAGGUUUGUGACCUCGAUGUUGGACCAGAAUAUCCCAAAGAUGCAGAAGUCUUUAAAGGUUGGUCUGUUCGACCAUUAAAAUUCUA